rnacentral:rRNA from 1 species
UACGGAGGUGGCAAGCGUUGUUCGGAAUCACUGGGCGUAAAGGGUGCGUAGGCGGGUCUUUAAGUCAGGGGUGAAAUCCUGGAGCUCAACUCCAGAACUGCCUUUGAUACUGAAGAUCUUGAGUUCGGGAGAGGUGAGUGGAACUGCGAGUGUAGAGGUGAAAUUCGUAGAUAUUCGCAAGAACACCAGUGGCGAAGGCGGCUCACUGGCCCGAUACUGACGCUGAGGCACGAAAGCGUGGGGAGCAAACAGG